rnacentral:rRNA from 1 species
ACAUGCAAGUCGAGCGAGCGGAACUAACAGAUUUACUUCGGUAAUGACGUUAGGAAAGCGAGCGGCGGAUGGGUGAGUAACACGUGGGGAACCUGCCCCAUAGUCUGGGAUACCACUUGGAAACAGGUGCUAAUACCGGAUAAGAAAGCAGAUCGCAUGAUCAGCUUUUAAAAAGGCGGCGUAAGCUGUCGCUAUGGGAUGGCCCGCGGUGCAUUAGCUAGUUGGUAAGGUAAAGGCUUACCAAGGCGAUGAUGCAUAGCCCGAGUUGAGAGACUGAUCGGGCCACAUUGGGGACUGAGGACACGGGGCCCAAACUCCUACGGGGGGAGGGGCAGCAGUAGGGGGAAUCUUCCACAAUGGACGCAAGUCUGAUGGAGCAACGCCGCGUGAGUGAAGAAGGUUUUCGGAUCGUAAAAGCUCUGUUGUUGGUGAAGAAGGAUAGAGGUAGUAACUGGCCUUUAUUUGACGGUAAUCAACCAGAAAAUCACGGCUAACUACGUGCCAGCAGCCGCGGUAAU